rnacentral:rRNA from 1 species
UACGAAGGGGGCUAGCGUUGCUCGGAAUCACUGGGCGUAAAGCGCACGUAGGCGGCUUUUUAAGUCAGGGGUGAAAUCCUGGAGCUCAACUCCAGAACUGCCUUUGAUACUGAGAGCUUGAGUCCGGGAGAGGUGAGUGGAACUGCGAGUGUAGAGGUGAAAUUCGUAGAUAUUCGCAAGAACACCAGUGGCGGAAGGCGGCUCACUGGCCCGGGUACUGACGCUGAGGUGCGAAAGCGUGGGGAGCAAACAGG